rnacentral:rRNA from 1 species
GAGUGAAACUCAAAGGAAUGUGCGGUGACCCGCACAAGUAGCGGAGCAUGGGGUGUAAUUCGAAGCAACGCGAAGAACCUUACCUAAGCUUGACAUCCCAAUGACAUCUCCUUAAUCGGAGAGUUCCCUUCGGGGACAUUGGUGACAGGUGGGGCAUGGUUGUCGUCAGCUCGUGUCGUGAGAUGUUGGGUUAAGUCCCGCAACGAGCGCAACCCUUGUCUUUAGUUGCCAUCAUUAAGUUGGGCACUCUAGAGAGACUGCCAGGGAUAACCUGGAGGAAGGUGGGGAUGACGUCAAAUCAUCAUGCCCC